AUUGAACGCUGGCGGAAUGCUUUACACAUCCAAGUCGAACGGCAGCACGGGGGCAACCCUGGUGGCGAGUGGCGAACGGGUGAGUAAUACAUCGGAACGUGCCCAGUCGUGGGGGAUAACGCAGCGAAAGCUGUGCUAAUACCGCAUACGAUCUAUGGAUGAAAGCGGGGGACCGCAAGGCCUCGCGCGAUUGGAGCGCCCGAUGGCAGAUUAGGUAGUUGGUGGGGUAAAGGCUCACCAAGCCGACGAUCGGUAGCUGGUCUGAGAGGACGACCAGCCACACUGGGACUGAGACACGGCGCAGACUCCUACGGGAGGCAGCAGUGGGGAAUUUUGGACAAUGGGCGCAAGCCUGAUCCAGCCAUUCCGCGUGCAGGAUGAAGGCCCUCGGGUUGUAAACUGCUUUUGUACGGAACGAAACGGCUCUGGUUAAUACCUGGGGCUAAUGACGGUACCGUAAGAAUAAGCACCGGCUAACUACGUGCCAGCCGCCGCAGUAA
rnacentral:rRNA from 1 species